GGCUUGUUGAUUAUAAUUUUAAGUCUGGCCUGCCCAAUGAUUAAUUUUAAUGGCCGCGGUAUAUUGACUGUGCAAAGGUAGCAUAAUCAUUAGUUUUUUAAUUGAAAGCUUGUAUGAAAGGUUUAAUGAAAAAGUUUCUGUCUCUAGAUGAAUUUAUUAGAAUUUUAUUUUUAAGUUAAAAAGCUUAAAUUUUUAUUGAAGACGAGAAGACCCUAUAGAGUUUUAUACUAAUAUUAUUAGUUAAAUUUUAAAGAGUUAAAAAGUUUAUUUAUUAUAUUUGUAUUUAGUUGGGGUGAUGGAAAAAUUUGUUUAACUUUUUUUUAUUAAGAAACAUUUAUUUAUGAGUUUAUGAUCCUUAGUUUAAGAUUAAAAGAAAAAAUUACCUUAGGGAUAACAGCGUAAUUUUUUCUAGAGUUCUUAUCGAAGAUAAAGUUUGCGACCUCGAUGUUGGAUUAAAAUUAAUUAUUGGUGUAGAAGCUUAAUAGAUUAGGUCUGUUCGACCUUUGAAAUUUUACAUGAUCUGAGUUUAAACCGGUGUGAG
rnacentral:rRNA from 1 species